UAAUGCUCUUCCAGAACCACAUUUGUUACCAGCGCAACCAGGUCCAGCGCUUCUUGUUCUGAGCCUUCCAACUCCACAACCACCACAAGCAAGUUGGUCCAUGUAAACACAGCACUGUCAGCAUGAUACAAAUAUUAAUGCAACUAUUAAAGGAAAAGCCAAAACCUCCCAAAGCUUACCAGUAAACACUUCCACUUUGAGACUGAAGAGGACCUACAGCCAAAUGGCGUAAAUCAUCCAUUAGGACCAAACGAGACUAAUUUAAGUUAGAAGAUACCAUUCAAGAAAUCCUUGAGAUGUGUUUACUACAUCCAAGUGCAUUCGUCCUGACACAGUAAGGGCAGUCAACAGCACAACCUGCAAGUGCUCUGCUGCCCUGUUCAUGCCCCAGCCUCUCUGUGUUUCAUUCAGACUUUGAAGACCAACUCUGAUAAAGAGGUCUCUAUAUCAAUGGGAUGGUACCUCAUUCCUCUGAGCUCCAGUGUUUCAUCCAAAGAGCCGACCACAUACAGGGCAUCAUGCCGCUCUGCAAUAUAGCACAGAUGUGUAAAACAUCAGGUCU